rnacentral:rRNA from 1 species
UACAGAGACUGCAAGCGUUAUUCGGAUUCACUGGGCGUAAAGAGCGCGCAGGCGGUCGUUCAAGUCGCGUGUGAAAGCCCCCGGCUCAACUGGGGAGGGUCACGCGAUACUGAUCGACUCGAAGGCAGGAGAGGGUAGUGGAAUUCCCGGUGUAGUGGUGAAAUGCGUAGAUAUCGGGAGGAACACCAGUGGCGAAGGCGACUACCUGGCUGUUCUUGACGCUGAGGCGCGAAAGCAUGGGGAGCGAACAGG